rnacentral:rRNA from 1 species
GGGGAAUAUUGCACAAUGGGCGCAAGCCUGAUGCAGCGACGCCGCGUGAGGGAUGACGGCCUUCGGGUUGUAAACCUCUUUCAGUAGGGAAGAAGCGAAAGUGACGGUACCUGCAGAAGAAGCGCCGGCUAACUACGUGCCAGCAGCCGCGGUAAUACGGGGGGGGUAAGCGUUGUUCGGAAUUACUGGGCGUAAAGGGCUCGUAGGCGGCCAACUAAGUCAUACGUGAAAUCCCUCAGCUUAACUGGGGAACUGCGUGUGAUACUGGAUGGCUUGGAUUUGGGAGAGGGAUGCGGAAUUCCAGGUGUAGCGGUGAAAUGCGUAGAUAUCUGGAGGAACACCGGUGGCGAAGGCGGCAUCCUGGACCAAUAUUGACGCUGAGGAGCGAAAGCCAGGGGAGCAAA